AUAUCCAAUAUCCAACGCUGUCCAAACUGCUCCAAAAUUCCAAACCCCCCUCAAAUGAAUGCUUCUUGAGAUACUUGAAACACACAUACACACACACAGAGGGUCCACAAUUUUAUAGUUGGAUGUUCAUUGGUCCAUUGGUUUGAGCUGGAUCCCAACAUCCCUUCCUCUUCCCAGGUUUGGAACCUGAAUACCGUGCACGGGAGGAGUCAGGGACUCUCGUUGAAAAGACCAGCUGAAUUGUAGAUCAACAGAGGCCGAGAUUCCGCUGGUGGAGAGGAAGGGUGACGGGAUCACUGGACUCCAGAUGCUGCUGCACCUGUGGGUCAUGAUUGUUCUCCUGACUUGCACACCCGAAAUGGACCAUGCUCAUCCUGAUGGAAGAUAGAAGGCUUGAAUUUUAGAGUAAACUCAUAGCCUUCAAUGUAGGAAUGGUACAAGCUGCUGGAAUAUGGACUCUGGGUCCUGACUCUCCCUGUUUUGCACAGAAAUGCUAUGAAUUAAAGAGAUUUCCUCUGCUUUAUUUUUUUACAACUGAAGAUUGAUAACUGACAGCUGCAUUGAGUUUUUAGAAUAAUGUGAUAAGUGUUCUAUUGUAAUGGUGGUCUGCUGAAAGGACAUUAAAUCAAACAGGAUCUCACAUUUGUUCUUCUAAUCAUCUGCUUUUAGAUAUAUGGUCUCUUGAGAGAUUGUAUUUAACACUAU